UGAGCAAAAAAAUCCGUUAUGAAGAAGAAUACUCAUAUUUACCGACAAACAUUAUAUAGUAUGGGAUAUGAAGAAGAAUACUCAUAACAGUCUCCUCUGGAGCAAUUCCUUUAUCAAUGGCUAACAUGACCCAACUUACAUUUUUGUAAGUCUUUGUUGACUUUUAUGAAUGCUACAGUUUCUCUUCAAAGAUCUGCAUCUUAUAAUGGUUUUGUUUUUGUGUGGAUUUAUUUUUCAGCGUAUGUGAGCAGCUACAUGUAGAGCCUCGAGUUAACGGUGGAUAUAUACAGGGUUAGAUGAAU
rnacentral:lncRNA from 1 species